GAGGUCGGGGAUUGCAAGGAG
rnacentral:miRNA from 1 species